rnacentral:rRNA from 1 species
UACGGGGGGGGGCAAGCGUUGUUCGGAAUUACUGGGCGUAAAGGGCGCGUAGGCGGCCCGCUAAGUCGAACGUGAAAUCCCCGAGCUCAACUCGGGAACUGCGUCCGAUACUGGCGGGCUUGAAUCCGGGAGAGGGAUGCGGAAUUCCAGGUGUAGCGGUGAAAUGCGUAGAUAUCUGGAGGAACACCGGUGGCGAAGGCGGCAUCCUGGACCGGCAUUGACGCUGAGGCGCGAAAGCUAGGGGAGCAAACGGG